CCUACGGGGGGCAGCAGUGGGGAAUAUUGCACAAUGGGCGAAAGCCUGAUGCAGCAACGCCGCGUGAGCGAUGAAGGCCUUCGGGUCGUAAAGCUCUGUCCUCAAGGAAGAUAAUGACGGUACUUGAGGAGGAAGCCCCGGCUAACUACGUGCCAGCAGCCGCGGUAAUACGUAGGGGGCUAGCGUUAUCCGGAAUUACUGGGCGUAAAGGGUGCGUAGGUGGUUUCUUAAGUCAGAGGUGAAAGGCUACGGCUCAACCGUAGUAAGCCUUUGAAACUGGGAAACUUGAGUGCAGGAGAGGAGAGUGGAAUUCCUAGUGUAGCGGUGAAAUGCGUAGAUAUCACGCAGAACUCCGAUUGCGAAGGCAGCAUACCGGCGCGCAACUGACGCUCAUGCACGAAAGCGUGGGUAUCGAACAGGAUUAGAUACCCCAGUAGUC
rnacentral:rRNA from 1 species